rnacentral:RNase_P_RNA from 1 species
UGGAGAACGUUCGUGGUCGCUCCGUACGCAGUUUGCGCACGGGGAGGAAAGUCGGGACACCGCAGGGCAGGCAGGCUUCUCGCCGAAGCCUGAGGCGACUCAGAGACAGUGCCACAGAAAGUAAACCGCCGGCUCGGCUGCGGUCGAGCGGGCAAGGGUGAAACGGUAGGGUAAGAGCCUACCAGCGUCUCGGGUAACCGAGGC